CAUGGAUGUUGGUGCCCCCUGGAAUGUGAGAACCGUUGGGAGAAAGAAGAAGAGCAUGUUACAGCAGAAAGAGAAGAGUCCUGUAUUCAGGAAAGCACAGAUAGAAACUCAGAAAGAUCGACGUGCCCAGAAAAUCAGUGUUCUGAAAGGCCACUUGUCGAGUGGCAUUUCUAGUUUGCUCCCUGAAUUUUCAGAAGAGACUACUGAAUUAACUAAUAAAAGAGAAUGAAUCAUUCAGAGGGAAUGAUCAGUUCUACCAAAGUCCAGGCAUCCAGCAAAGAGGAAACCAAGCUAAUUGGAAAAUAAAUUGGCAAAAUUCUGAAUUAUGGCUCUGUUGUUAUUUGUCUGAGUUGGGCUAAUUAUUGGUAUCUUAAUAGACUUCUCGUUUGGGUGCAUGUGUCAGCAGGUGAAUAUAUUAGUGGAACUUGGCUUUUUGGAUGAGAAACUAGAUGUCCUGAAUGCAAAUAUAUUUCAUUUGCUUAUUCCACUGAGGAAACUGCCACUUAAAGCAAAAAGAUAUAAAGAUAUAGUCAAUCCAACUACAUUUCCAGAUAUUCCAAAGGUUUUCAUAACCCUUUGUCAGCACUUUGCCUGCCUUGUGCCAGGUAUGUAAUCACUAUGGUUUGGUAAGAGGGAGGCACCGUCACCUCCAUUCUGGUCUCCUCACCUUCAAACUCACAUUUGGUGAAAGGCAGAUGGCAUGAGGCAAUAAAGGUGCCUGAAUAAGAAUUGUACAUGAAAGGAGUAGUAAACGAUCUCCCAGCGAGCUGUGCUUUUGUCUGACCUGGUCAUUUUCCCAGCCUUCCCCCUGCCUGGAAUGCCCUUCCCCUCCCUGCCCCUCUUCCUAUCCGCUCUCCAGGGUCAGUUUGGGGGCCUUGCCUUGGGGGCUUUCCUUGACAUCACUCCACACCGUGUCCCUCGUCCAGCUCAUGCCCAUCUGUCUCCC
rnacentral:lncRNA from 1 species